CAGCAGCCACGGGAAUACGGAGGGUGCAAGCGUUAAUCGGAAUUACUGGGCGUAAAGCGUGCGUAGGCGGUUCGUUAAGUCUGUUGUGAAAGCCCCGGGCUCAACCUGGGAAUGGCAAUGGAUACUGGCGAGCUAGAGUGUGUCAGAGGAUGGUGGAAUUCCCGGUGUAGCGGUGAAAUGCGUAGAGAUCGGGAGGAACAUCAGUGGCGAAGGCGGCCAUCUGGGACAACACUGACGCUGAGGCACGAAAGCGUGGGGAGCAAACAGGAUUAGAUAACCCCGUAGUCCCUGUCUCUUAUAC
rnacentral:rRNA from 1 species